AAUAAACACGCCUCACCACUCGACUCCCUCGCUCGACCUCCUCGUCGAUGGUGAAGGUGAAGGAGGCGACCGUCGUGCCCCUGCUAGCGGCAGCAGACGUGUGGUUUGUGGGGCUCGUGGCGGCGGCGACAUGGCCGGCGCGCCAGCUCCUAUGCUCCUCCAUCAUGGGUCGAAAUUUGUCAUUUUCGAGGUCUCCCGGAAAACACCUCCGCCCGCCGCCGCCUCUCCUCCAUUGCCGCUCCCCGCUGCCCCAAGCCGUGGGUAAGCUCUACUUCUCCCAGACGAGCUGGUUCUCGAACCGUUUCUUUGCAACUCUACCUGAUUUGUGUUGGAUCUAAUUGGUUUCUUGGUUUCUGGGUUGUUUUUUGAGUUGAUAUGACACUGAGAUUUGAGGGUGCAUAUUUCUGGGCGGAGGUGAGGUGGUGGCUGCAGUGCGCCCCCUAGUGCCUUGUGUUAAAGCCUUCAAUUUGCUAGAUUUGAGGGUGAGUUUCUGUGCGAAAGUGAGGUGGUGGACUGGUGGCUGCAGUAUGCCCCCUAGUGCCUUAUGUUAAAGCCUUCUUCAAUUUGCUAGAACACAACAUAUGUUGGAUACGUGUUGGUUAAUUGAUGGUUUUGUUGCUUCUUAGUGUUCAUAUCUGAACGAUCCUUGUGAAUUCACAGUGCCAGUUGUGUCUAGUUGGCUUAUGGUUAGGGGGAAGGAGAUGCUUUGGACAGGGAGCUUGCACCUUUGCAGCAAUGCUGGGUUUAUGUACAGUUCACGCAGCAGAGAUUUGCAUGAUAGUUAGUUUGCUCACGAUUUAUUUUGAGGAAACAAUUCGUCUCACACAUAAUUACUGUAUAAAAAUUGUGAGAAAACUUUAGGUGGGAAGAACUAGCAACCUUAAUUUGCAGCGCUAAUUCACUAUUGGGCUUAUAGGCAAAGCUAAAGUGGUCAUGAAGAACUUAAUUAGGCUUUCAUCAGAUAAUUUGAUUGCUCAAAAAAAAUUAUGGCGGCGCUAUACGGAUGAGUUGGCAUAAAGUAAAUGGAAUUUCACAGGGUGCUUCUGAGUUGAGGCAUGGCGCUGAUACAAAAAGUUACGCAUCUCAGAUGUUCAGCUUGAAUGGAUUCGCAAACUUAAGUUUCAUUUUUCAUGAGUAUGGUUGAAGGCUAAUUCUCUUUUCAUGUAUAAGUUGUUCCAUAUUAGGGAGGCUGCAUUUGUUUGAAAUCUCUAAUUAUUUCUUUUGGGACUGACCUAUGUUUAUAUUUACAGAGUCUGAACUGAUAGAUAAGAAUUGAGAAUUUCCAGGAGAUGAGACAUAAGGAAAGUCUUCAAUAUAUUGUUCAAUUUGAUUUUUUGUGAGCCCUCUAUCCUUUUUAAUGCCUUUAGUAGUCUGGUUUGUUGCAGCUAAAAAUUUAACGCAUAUUGUGUCCCUCUGCAGAAAAUGGCAUGAUAAUGAUCCAACAUUUGGUCAUCAAAUUCCUGAUUACGACUCUCUAGCACCCAAUCAACUAGCGAGAGUCAUCAAAAAAUAUCUGGAAUGAGCGUAGGAAGCCUUAACGAAUAUCAUAGAAAAAAUGGUCAAAAAGAAAAGGAAAUUUCCAUAGCCGCAAAGCUUGUUUGCAUAUGUGCAAUCAAAGUUAUUUGACAAUUCUUUUUUCCUUGUGUUAAUUCUAGGUAACCAUGAUGAGUACUUGAAGAGUGAUGGAAACAGGAUGAGCUUUAUCCCUUGGCAACCCAGAAACAGCUUAUGCACAUCCAAAAACUAACCAUAGUCAGUCCUUUGCUAUUUCAUAUCCGUAUGCUGAUUCAUACUAUGGUGGUUCAUUGCAGCUUAUGGGCAGCAUGCUAUUGUAAGUGAUUUUUAUGCGUCCAGCAUGUUAUCUCAUUAGUUUCUCCUACUUCAUGGUCUAGAUGUCCUUUAUCCACUUUGCUAUCCAGUGUUGUUCGCUACCUUCUUUGGUCCAAAUAAUAGGAUGUUUUCUGUACAUGUAGGUGUGCCUUGAGUAUUAUUACUGGUUAACUUUCAAUUGAUUUGCCCUUGUAUUCACCUGUGAAAAUUUACCGUGUUACUGAAGCAUUCAUGUAGCCAGUAUGUCAUUGCAUAAUGUCAUUUUCCUGGUCGCAAUGGCUCAUUUUUGCUAGCUACAGUAUACAAUGGCAUUGACAAUUAAAAUUAUAAUCUCAUACUUUGUCUCAAUUAUCCUUCCUAAAAGGUCGGAUAAUCAUGUAUAUUGAAACUGCUAGCAAUUGCAUUUUUUGUUCUAUUACCGGAAUCGAUUUUUCUACGUGCUAAUUAUAGAGUUUAGCGAAUAUUAACCAACUUAUGGUCUGUUUUUUUUGGCAUUUAUUAUCAUAGUUGAGUCAUUCGCUUCUUAUCUUUUCAUUUGCAAAACUUUCAAAUUGCAACUAUGGGAAUAAUGUCUUUCCAUAGUUGAGGUUUGUGAAGCUUGUUUCAACAAUGCUUUUGCGAUGAUACUAUACCAAACAGCCAAGAAGGUAAAUUCUUUUUCCGAUUGUUGUCUAUAGCAGCUCAUCCUCUAGCUGCUGCUGCUACUCCAACAAGGUUCUAAGAGUGAACUUAAGGCCAGUUAAAAAGCACGUCAAUGUUUGUUCAGAUUAUGAUACUUAGAUUAUGAAUCUUCGUAAACAUUCCCUCUUCAUCAAUUGUAGUAUCCUAUAAAUGUUAUAGUAUCAUGUAAAUUUGCAAAAUUUAGUUGCUUUAAUAGAUUAAUUUAUAAUACAUGCUGAAUCUCAGUUUGAGGUGACAAAUUUUUGUACUAAUCAACAUCCAGAAUGUCUAAAUGAAAUUUCUUUAGUGGAUACAGUUUGAUCCCUUUUGUUUGCAAUAUUAACCUUAAGCUUCAUCAUAUGGUCAUGACAAUGGAACGACAAGGGACUGAUGCGAGGAAAUGCGUACAUGCCUCAAUUUGAGUCAAAUAAAAAGCAAUUUUACAUAGAUAUUUUUUGUUGCUGUGGAUAUAUAGUUGCACACUGAAAAUAUUCAGCACAUGUUGGAUUAGGUAAUGUCCUUGUAUGCUUCUAUUAGGUGUUUGCGUUUGUUGCCAUUGAAGAGAAGGCUUGAUAAUGUCUUUUAUUUGUAUUAAAUUUUAGCCAUAACAAGUUUUUCCAUUUGUUAUUGUAAUACAGUAGUCCCAAGCAGCUACUCCAGCUAUUAUUUGUUUGUCGUAUUAAUUGUAAUUAGUAAUAGACCUCAGUGAUAUUUCAGACUACAGAAUCUUUAGUUUUUGUUAUU